UCUAAUUAGACUAAUGUGACCUUAACCGAAUCUAAUUGAAUGAAAAUUUGGUUUAAAUGUGAAAAACCCUAAUUUUGGAAGAAAUCCCCAAUUUGAAACCCUAAUUGCAAAGAAAACCCUAAUUUCAAAAUUGGAAACCCUAAUUUCGAAAUUUCACUAAUCUAAUGAAAUAAACACGCAACUAAAAUGUAAAUAUGCAAUUUUAGAACUAUUGUAUUGAAAUGAAUUGAAAUGAAAUCAUUAAGAACUCGAAUCCCCAAUUGACUAUUAAAAACCCUAAUUUCACAAAUUCAACGAAUCGAUGGAACAAAAUGCCAAUUCAAUAUUCCUAAAUUAUCCAAUACACUCUCUCAAUAUAUAUUGAAUUUACUCUUACACACCACCAGCCUAUAUUUCUAUGGAUGAUGCAAUGUACAAGAAUGCAUGACUUUUUAUGAACAUUUUCAUGAAUUGCAUAAAGCAUAGAGGUAAGUUUCCAUCCCCUAUCGGACCCUAUGUCAAUUUAUAUUCUAUCGAAUUUAUUCCCCUUCUUUCGAAUGCAAAGAACAAAUCAUCUACAAUCACAUAACAAUUGGCCAAAU
rnacentral:lncRNA from 1 species